GGUGGUCAUGUGGCCCAAAUUUAUGCUACCCGGCAGUCCAUCUCAAAAGCUCUGGUGGCUUAUUACCAAAAAUAUGUAGAUGAAGCCUCUAAGAAGGAGAUCAAAGAUAUCCUCAUCCAGUACGAUCAGACCCUGCUUGUAGCUGACCCCUGUCGCUGCGAAUCCAAAAAGUUUGGCGGUCCCGGUGCCCGUGCCCGGUACCAGAAAUCUUACCGAAAAGCCAGUCUCAAGGAUCAGGGUUUACCU
rnacentral:lncRNA from 1 species